ensembl:miRNA Mir30c-2 microRNA mir-30c-2
GAGUGACAGAUACUGUAAACAUCCUACACUCUCAGCUGUGAAAAGUAAGAAAGCUGGGAGAAGGCUGUUUACUCUCUCUGCCUU